UGAAUGAUGACUAAAUGUACGCCAUCACCUGUUAGUGAACAAACAAUUUAGUAUGUGGAGUGUUGGAAGAAAACGAAAUCUGCGUGUUUGAAGUACACAAACAACUAGUCACAGUGUUUGACGUACACAGACAACUAGUCACAGUGUUUGAAGUACACAAACAACUAGUCACAGUGUUUGAAGUACACAAACAACUAGUCACAGUGGUUGAAGUACACAAACAACUAGUCACAGUGUUUGAAGUACACAAACAACUAGUCACAGUGGUUGAAGUACACAAACAACUAGUCACAGUGUUUGUAAGGAAAAACAAAUAGGUGCCGCUACUCAGUAAGAAACCAUGUAAAGCCUGAGACAUCCACUAGAAACAGAUACCAUUUGUCAACACAGAGCCUCUUGAAGUUGAAGAAGAUGACCUAAAAACCUUUCCGAGCAAGGUAACAGCUCCAGCAUCUCAACCACUCAUCAGUACAGCAAAGAUGUUGAGAUGAACAAUUCCUCUGAUACAAAUGCUUCACAAGGCAACAUCACAAAUGUCAAUCAGAUUCGUCCAAGACUUAGGAAAAGAAAAAACUUGCAUGGGCCUGGUCCUUCAGUUGCUCAUAGAAGUUCCAGAAUGCGUCUUAUGUCGUGCCAAGACGUUCAAGAGUUGCAAGUUGUUGUUUUUACUUGUUCUAUUGGUUGCUGUUGUUGUCGCUAGAAGCCGCUGAUAAUUGUAGAAAGCACAAUUGCAAUCCCAACAUGCUGCCCGCAACUGUAAUCCUCGCCAUUAGCAUAUCUGACACGAGUUCAUUUGAGGAUUUGCUCGGACUUUUAAUCUGAAUGUUCUCAACACAUGCUGUUCCACUUCUGUCCAUGACGGGGAUAGAGCUAUAAGGGUUGGCGGAGCGCGCUAUAUUAAAAGUAAAUAAAAAAAAUAGCAUUCGGGUCAUGAGUGUUUUUUUUUAAAUAUAUUUUUGUUUCUUAUUCUUCCAAAUGUACAUUGUUUGUAU